rnacentral:lncRNA from 1 species
AAAGUGCUGGCUCAUAAAUGCUGGUUCCCUUUCUUAAUGAGGUAUUAGUCCACAUAGCCUGGAUCAGCUCAACUUAGCAACAGAUCAUUUGUGACCCCAGAAACGAAGCUAUUCUCAUCAAGGAACGUUUGUGGACUAUUCUUUAGAUGGAAGGAGGACAUCAAAGUCUACAGUCCAUUCUAUCCAGGUUGUAUCAGAUUGCACUGAACAAAAGACGGAGCAUUCCCAAGCUAUAGCAGUCAUUCUUGAAUUGAUGUGGGUCUUAUAAAUGUCUCAAAAUACAGCAAGUAUACGAGAUAGAGAGCAGAGAAGUCUGGAAGUGAUUGAGAAAUGAAGAAGCAGUGUCCAUUGUUUUAACAUAUACCCACCGAUGUGGUGCUCUAAGAUUUAUGACCAAAUCAUGACUGAAUGAUGCUGAAAGAUUGAAGAAUCUGUAACAGGGGAACUAGAUACUGCAUGCAUGUGUUUCAGGAAGGAACACCAUGAUGAAUAUUGUGGGUAUUACAUUUCCAAACAUUCCUUUUGGCGUUUCUUUUGAUCUUCUUGCUGGACUGAUAACUAUUAUGGAAACAUCGACUCUGAAACUGCAUCUCCCCACUCCUUCCCAUUAAAUGUCAAAGCACUGACAGCAGAAGAUAUCAAUGUGAGUUAUAUGUAUGUCUACAUAUAUAUGUAUAUAAAUAUAAACUCCCUGAUCAUCUGUUUCUUUUUCAAUGCCAGAAAGUCAGUUUGUGGGAGAUUUAAAUUGCAGUUUUCUACUUAAGAAAACAGAUUACAUGAAGUUGUACUAGAAGAUAUGCAUAUCCUUUGAAAAAUAAUACUCUGGACAUUUUAUAAAAAGAGAAAGCUGUGGGAGAAAGUGAGUGUAGUAUUGGUAUCUACAGUUGCUUCUCUUUAAAAUAUGCAGGGUAUGUAAAAAUAAGAAAAGAAACAGAGGGAAAAGAUCAGAAGGACUUGUGUGGAUUUUGUUAUGUGAGCCUGCAGCCAGAUUAGCUACAGAUCAUUGUCCAAGAGAAAUAUUGAAAGAAAUUUUACAUAUGAAAUGUAGGAAAGAUGCUCUUUAAAAAAAGAGAUGAUAUUAUAAGGCAUAAUGAAUCUUUUCAAGUGAAAUGGAAGGAACACUAAAUUGAGACUGACCACUAAAAGGCUUGAUAAGGGUGGGAGUGGUUAAAUGGAGUUUGAUCAUGUUUAAAGGCAGUGGACGAGAAAUAGAGACUGAAAUUUGGAAGAGACAAGGAUAAAUACACGGAGGACACAGGAGGAGAGGGGAUCAAUGAUAGAG